rnacentral:rRNA from 1 species
AGCGAACGCUGGCGGUAGGCCUAACACAUGCAAGUCGAACGGACCCUUCGGGGUUAGUGGCGGACGGGUGAGUAACACGUGGGAACGUGCCCUUUGGUUCGGAACAACUCAGGGAAACUUGAGCUAAUACCGAAUGUGCCCUUCGGGGGAAAGAUUUAUCGCCAUUGGAGCGGCCCGCGUCUGAUUAGCUAGUUGGUGGGGUAAUGGCCUACCAAGGCUACGAUCAGUAGCUGGUCUGAGAGGAUGAUCAGCCACAUUGGGACUGAGACACGGCCCAAACUCCUACGGGAGGCAGCAGUGGGGAAUCUUGCGCAAUGGGCGAAAGCCUGACGCAGCCAUGCCGCGUGAAUGAUGAAGGUCUUAGGAUUGUAAAAUUCUUUCACCGGGGACGAUAAUGACGGUACCCGGAGAAGAAGCCCCGGCUAACUUCGUGCCAGCAGCCGCCGUAAUAC